rnacentral:lncRNA from 1 species
UCAAACAUAUAUAAUUCACUGUAAUAAUUAUAAGGAUAAAAUGAAAAUUGCAAAAACAUCCCAAAACUCAUUCCAAUUGAUAUCUCUAAGGAUCCCUACACAUAUUCUCACUAAUUCCCAAUUGUAAAUAACUCAUUCCUUAUCUCUAAGCGGACUCACGUGUCUUCAGCCAGCGAUAGCAGCAUCUCUCGCGGUUCUCUGAGAUUCCUCCAAUUUUUUUCCUCUAGCUGCUCCGAUAGAAUUCCUAAACGUCAAAGAGACAGAGAAGGGAUUGAAGCCUCCACUUGUACUGUCACCAUGCGAUUUAUUUUUGUCCCUCCACAAAUAUUAUCUCGCAAAUCCCAACGGUGGAAGCGUGGGAAAUUUAAUUUCUAACAACAUAUCCAAAUUUCAUAAAAAUCCAACGGUUAACGAAACCGAGAUCGUAGUUUUACCGAGACAGCUCUGGGUUUCUGCGGGAAAGGAAAAUGCUACAAUGCGAGGGGUAUUUCUCUUAGCUCAGACACAAU